rnacentral:rRNA from 1 species
GUGCAGCAGGCGAGAAUCUUCCACAAUGGACGAAAGUCUGAUGGAGCGACGCCGCGUGCGGGAUGAAGGCCUUAUGGGUUGUAAACCGCUGUCAGGGGGAAGAACAUCGGAAUGAACAAUACUCAUCCCGACUGACGUUACCCCCAGAGGAAGCUCCGGCCAACUCCGUGCCAGCAGCCGCGGUAAUACGGGGGGAGCAAGCGUUGUCCGGAAUUAUUGGGCGUAAAGGGCGUGUAGGCGGCGAGGUAAGUCGAAUGUGAAAUCUCACGGCUCAACCGUGAAACUGCGUUCGAAAACUACCCUGCUUGAGUACGGGAGAGGUGUACGGAAUUCCUGGUGUAGCGGUGGAAUGCGUAGAUAUCAGGAAGAACACCGGUGGCGAAGCGGUACACUGGCCCAGUACUGACGCUGAGGCGCGAAAGCGUGGGGAGCAAACAGGAUUAGAUACCCGGGUAGU